rnacentral:rRNA from 1 species
CCUACGGGAGGCAGCAGUGGGGAAUAUUGCGCAAUGGGCGAAAGCCUGACGCAGCGACGCCGCGUGAGGGAUGAAGGUCUUCGGAUCGUAAACCUCUGUCAGCAGGGAAGUACGGUCACUGUGCUAAUCAGCAGUGAAUUGACGGUACCUGCAAAGGAAGCACCGGCUCACUCCGUGCCAGCAGCCGCGGUAAUACGGAGGGUGCGAGCGUUAAUCGGAAUUACUGGGCGUAAAGCGCUCGUAGGUGGUAUGUCAAGUCAAGGGUGAAAUCCCCGGGCUCAACGUGAGAACUGCAUUUGAAACGGGCAGACUGGAGUGUGGGAGAGGUGAGUGGAAUUCGUGGUGUAGGAGUGAAAUCCGUAGAUAUCUGGAGGAACAUCAGUGGCGAAGGCGACUAUCUGGCACAUAACUGACGCUGAGGAGCGAAAGCGUGGGUAGCAAACAGGAUUAGAUACCCUUGUAGUC